rnacentral:rRNA from 1 species
GAUGAACGCUAGCUACAGGCUUAACACAUGCAAGUCGAGGGGUAACAGGAGGAAAGCCUGCUUUUCUUGCUGACGACCGGCGCACGGGUGAGUAACGCGUAUCCAACCUUCCCCUUAGUAGAGGAUAGCCCGGCGAAAGUCGAAUUAAUACUCUAUGUUCUUCCUGGAUGGCAUCUGAUGGGAAGCAAAGGUUCACCGCUAAGGGAUGGGGAUGCGUCUGAUUAGCUUGUCGGCGGGGUAACGGCCCACCAAGCCCUCGAUCGGUAGGGGUUCUGAGAGGAAGGUCCCCCCACAUUGGAACUGAGACACGGUCCAAACUCC